GAUGAACGCUGGCGGCGUGCCUAAUACAUGCAAGUCGAGCGAACAGACGAGGAGCUUGCCUCUCUGACGUUAGCGGCGGACGGGUGAGUAACACGUGGAUAACCUACCUAUAAGACUGGGAUAACUUCGGGAAACCGGAGCUAAUACCGGAUAAUAUAUUGAACCGCAUGGUUUAAUAGUGAAAGACGGUUUUGCUGUCACUUAUAGAUGGAUCCGCGCCGCAUUAGCUAGUUGGUAAGGUAACGGCUUACCAAGGCAACGCUGCGUAGCCGACCUGAGAGGGUGAUCGGCCACACUGGAACUGAGACACGGUCCAGACUCCUACGGGAGGCAGCAGUAGGGAAUCUUCCGCAAUGGGCGAAAGCCUGACGGAGCAACGCCGCGUGAGUGAUGAAGGUCUUCGGAUCGUAAAACUCUGUUAUUAGGGAAGAACAGAUGUGUAAGUAACUAUGCACGUCUUGACGGUACCUAAUCAGAAAGCCACGGCUAACUACGUG
rnacentral:rRNA from 1 species